rnacentral:rRNA from 1 species
CAAAGCCGCGAGGUGGAGCGAAUCUCCAAAAAUUGUCCCAGUUCAGAUUGCAGGCUGCAACUCGCCUGCAUGAAGUCGGAAUUGCUAGUAAUCGUGGAUCAGCAUGCCACGGUGAAUACGUUCCCGGGCCUUGUACACACCGCCCGUCACACCAUGGGAGUCGGUAACACCCGAAGCCUGUAGUCUAACCGCAAGGAGGACGCAGUCGAAGGUGGGAUUGACGACUGGGGUGAAGUCGUAACAAGGUACC